UACGUAGGGACCAAGCGUUGUUCGGAUUUACUGGGCGUAAAGGGCGCGUAGGCGGCUUGACAAGUCACUUGUGAAAUCUCCGGGCUUAACUCGGAACGGCCAAGUGAAACUGUCAUGCUAGAGUGCAGAAGGGGCAAUCGGAAUUCUUGGUGUAGCGGUGAAAUGCGCAGAUAUCAGGAAGAACACCCGUGGCGAAAGCGGCUCUCUGGAACGGUACUGACGCUGAGACGCGAAAGCGUGGGGAGCGAACAGG
rnacentral:rRNA from 1 species